rnacentral:rRNA from 1 species
GGCACGGCGGGCCUACGGUAGGCAGCAGUGAGGAAUAUUGUUCAAUGCAGGCAACUCUGAACCAGCCAUGCCGCGUGCAGGAUGACGGUCAUAUGUAUUGUAAACUGCUUUUGUACAGGAAGAAACCACUCUACGUGUAGAGACUUGACGGUACUGGAAGAAUAAGGAUCGGCUAACUCCGUGCCACCAUGCGCGGUAAUCCGCGGAAAUAUA